AGCUCAGAGAUCAAAUCUCUGAUUCUUGUUGAACUCUUUGUUGAAUGUGAUGCAGCUUCUCCUUUUUAAUGUUUGUAUUUCUGGAUAUUACAGUGAGGCCACAGCAGGUUUUCACGCAGCAGGGCUGGUUAGUGUUUCAUUCCUUCAUCUGUGUGUGGGAGUGUGGAUGGAACAGGUAUCCAGGUGUUGUGUCAGAGUUUAGAUUGAUUGUAUUUUAAUGCUGAUUAUUAAAUCAGGUUGAGCUUCCAGAAAUGUUUCCUAGUUUCCUGAUGUCCUUUUAGGCUUCAGUGAGUUUCUUCAGGUUGUUACUGAGGGAUUUCCUUUCUCCUCUCUGUUGGAGCUUUUCCUGUGUUUGGAGAAAUGAGUUGUGCUGCAAGCAGCACCAAACUGUCCUUCCUACAUCCACUGCAGUUUGCAAUCCAAAUGUUGGACUGUUCCUGUCUCAGUGGAGGACCAUGUGUGUCUGAGAGACAUGUAAUGUCCAUGUUUGCUGCUGAAAGAGACUGAUGGUCUGACCCCCCUCCUCCUUUCAGGGUGGAGCCUGCUGGAGUCCCAUUCUUGACACCAGGUGUGAGGAAGUAUUCCUGUCAACUCACCAUCGACACAAACACAGUGAACAGAAACUCAAACUGUCUGAAGACAUCAGGAAGGUGACAUAUGUGAAGGAGCUUCAGUCAUAUCCUGAUCAUCCAGACAGAUUUGAUUUCUGUGAUCAGC